rnacentral:rRNA from 1 species
AGCGAACGCUGGCGGCAGGCCUAACACAUGCAAGUCGAACGGACCCUUCGGGGUUAGUGGCGGACGGGUGAGUAACACGUGGGAACGUGCCUUUAGGUUCGGAAUAGCUCCUGGAAACGGGUGGUAAUGCCGAAUGUGCCCUUAGGGGGAAAGAUUUAUCGCCUUUAGAGCGGCCCGCGUCUGAUUAGCUAGUUGGUGAGGUAAUGGCUCACCAAGGCUACGAUCAGUAGCUGGUCUGAGAGGAUGGCCAGCCACAUUGGGACUGAGACACGGCCCAAACUCCUACGGGAGGCAGCAGUGGGGAAUCUUGCGCAAUGGGCGAAAGCCUGACGCAGCCAUGCCGCGUGAAUGAUGAAGGUCUUAGGAUUGUAAAAUUCUUUCACCGGGGACGAUAAUGACGGUACCCGGAGAAGAAGCCCCGGCUAACUUCGUGCCAGCCGCCGCGGUAA